rnacentral:rRNA from 1 species
GUGCCAGCAGCCGCGGUAAUACGUAGGGUGCAAGCGUUAAUCGGAAUUACUGGGCGUAAAGCGUGCGCAGGCGGUUUUGUAAGACAGUGGUGAAAUCCCCGGGCUCAACCUGGGAACUGCCAUUGUGACUGCAAGGCUAGAGUGCGGCAGAGGGGGAUGGAUUCCGCGUGUAGCAGUGAAAUGCGUAGAUAUGCGGAGGAACACCGAUGGCGAAGGCAAUCCCCUGGGCCUGCACUGACGCUCAUGCACGAAAGCGUGGG